rnacentral:lncRNA from 1 species
UGCCUCAAAUGGAAAAGAGCAGCAGGUUUGGGUGGUGGCAGGGGACAAAGGUGGACUCAGGCAGGAGGUGGAAAGUGAAGUAAAUGAACUCUGGGGUGGUGUCUUCCAACUGUCACUUCCAACUCUCCUGUGUUUGUAGACUCUGUGUUCCUAAACAAGGGAAAAUACAGCCACAACCUCCAACGGAC